rnacentral:rRNA from 1 species
UACGGGGGGGGGUAAGCGUUGUUCGGAAUUACUGGGCGUAAAGGGCUCGUAGGCGGCCAACUAAGUCAGACGUGAAAUCCCUCAGCUUAACUGGGGAACUGCGUCUGAUACUGGAUGGCUUGGAUCCGGAAGAGGGAUGCGGAAUUCCAGGUGUAGCGGUGAAAUGCGUAGAUAUCUGGAGGAACACCGGUGGCGAAGGCGGCAUCCUGGGCCGGUAUUGACGCUGAGGAGCGAAAGCAUGGGGAGCGAACAGG